ensembl:lncRNA
UGGGGACAUGCGGCCAGCAGAGCCAGCCACGGCCUCCUGUCAGACUGUCAAACAGAAGAGUCGACUCUCCAGAGAAAAGGAGGCGUGAAGUCUUCCAGUGUCCAUCUGUGGCAGUCAAGAUGGACACCGACAACCAGUCUGAGCGGGCUCAGUCGGCCAUCUUGUUUUCAGCGUGGGUGCAGAGGAACUGUGUGAUGCUUAAAAAGCAAAAAAAAAAAAAAAAAAAAAGCGAGACAAAGAAGGAACUUUAACUCUUUUCCCACAUGUACCUGAACCAUUGUUCUUUCAGACACAGCAACCCCUAUAGCCAAAUGCUAACAUACGUUCAAUAUUUAAAAUACAGACGUAUCUGCUGUGAUGUCAUUCACUGGUUUGUGAAACCCCUUUUCGAAGGUUCAACUUUAGCUUCAAGGCUGACACCAUUUCAUUUUUGUGUACCUAGCAGUAAUGAAAAUAAGAUAAGAAGAUGGAGUGCUAAGUUAGCAAAAUAUAUCUAUAAAACUGCUAAUCAGUACUAAGUAACAGACUAAUAAAGAGCUAGAAUUUCACCCACCAACACUAGAGCCAGCUUCGUGGAUGGUCUGUUAGCAGAAUUUAACAAUAUAUAAAAAAGCAUCAACGGCCCAAACAGGUUAAGAGGCCCAGUUUUGAUGCAGAUUAACUAAAGUGAAGCCUAGCAUAGAACUAGCAGCUACAGCUACAUGUAGCAAUUAAUUUCUGCUGAUGUGACCUCUAAACACUUUGAUGCUUAGAUCGUAUUUUGCAUUUCAGAAUUGAGUUUUAUUCAGGCUGUGCUCAUUUGCUAAGAGAUUGAGAUUUGUUAGCCAAUAAGCAAGCAGUUUCACAGCGAGUCCCAUCCCGUUUCGCCACAAGAUGGAGACGGUAAAAAUACUCAUCUUGAGGCUUCAACGCGGGACUUUAGAAACCAGUACUUGGCAUCACAGUGGCUACAUCCAUCUUUUAUACUAUCUAUCACCGGCUUCCACCUGUCAGUCAAAAAUGAGCAAAAACUUCCAAAAGUGCUUUUGUCCCAAGGUAUAAACACGUUAAUUUCUUCUGUACAGUUGGGCAUUGUAAAAUAGAAGUCAAUAGGUACUGACUUCCUUUAGUAGAUUUCAACAUGAAGGACGUUAUACAGAUGUCAAUAAUUUACCAUGUAAAGUAGAACUUGCUAAAUAGGAAAUGCUGCUGCUUGAUGAAAUGUCAAAUCUAUAGGAUUCAUCCUAAAGGGAACUAUGAAUUUUUGCGCUAGACAGUUUGCACGUUUGACAGUCAAUACUCACUUUAGAAUAUAGUGAAUCAGGCCCCGGUCACUCAGGUCUAGAGACCAGUCAGUGACCAUCUGGCAACCUACAGUUGCAAAGCAAACUUUACAGCAGUCGCUGGGAAAUUGAUUGCUAAAGUCCCCAGUAACGCAGGCCUACAGACCAACGGUCGCUAGAAAACAAUGUGUAUUCCCCAGCUGUUUGGCAAAAGCUUGUGACUGCUCUGGCCCCUAGCACAUUAAGGCAGUUAUAGUUUGAAUGGAAGUGAUGGACUUACAAACACUGGCCAGCUGCUCUCCAACCUGUAGCAGAAGUGUGAAAAAAAAAGUGCAACAAAAACCUUAAAUGAAGACCGUCUGCCUUCAAAGUAAAAGUUGGCAGACCUUCUGCAUUUUCAGUUUGCAUCUUGCUUUUUUGAGUUUUUCUACCGCUCAGGCUAAUAGUUAGCCAGUAUGUGCAGACAAAAGUCGGAAAAACUCCAGUGACCGUGGCUAUCACUGGGAGGUUUUUGGUGCAGCACCUUCUUUGCAACCAAUAUUGCCCAGCAAUAGCCAGCAACCUCCAGGAACCACUGCCAAUCAGCCAGGGAAUACACAUUUUUCCAUGUCACUGGUGGUUAUAUAACAUCCAAUAUGAUCAAGUAAUUAAGAAAAAAAAAAAAAGAUUAGACAAUGAAACAAGUCUGUACAGGAGAAAAGAGACUAAGUGGUCUGGGACGUUUUCAGUGAUUUACCCACAGUGGCUCGGUUAAAUUAAAACACAUCGGAAGACACGAACACCAAAAACGACUUCCUCGCUGUUGCAGGGAGUGUAAAAAGGGUUGUUGCACUACCAAAGGAUCUUAUGUGGAAAAUAGACUCCUGCAAACAACCUUUUUGCACGUUGUCAACAGAGGAAAUUGGCAGGGUGAAGGUGCAAGCGGGAAAAGGGUGUCUGCCUGUUGCAGCAUUGUUAGUGGCUCUGCUUCUAUGUAAAAUGAGCAUGUUCAAGUGUAUGUACCUCUCAUUUUCAAGGACUUUGUGUUGGAGCACUAUGUUAAAAAAAAAAAAAAAAAAGUGUUUUCUCUUGUUUUUUUAAUUUAUUGGCGUGUGACUAUGUCAUUACAAACUGUAUCCACAUCCUCACCUGCAUUACAUCCGCAGCAGUCUGAAGCAGCUUGAAGUCGUUUCCCCUCCUCAUCAUUUCCUAUCUCGGCUGAACAGUGGCUCCAGUUUUGGCUCCAGACGGAGCUGCAAAGCCGCAGGGCACCC